UACGGAGGAUCCAAGCGUUUAUCCGGAAUCAUUGGGUUUAAAGGGUCCUAGGCGGUUUGGUAAGUCAGUGGUGAAAGCCCAUCGCUCAACGGUGGAACGGCCAUUGAUACUGCCAGACUUGAAUUAUUAGGAAGUAACUAGAAUAUGUAGUGUAGCGGUGAAAUGCUUAGAGAUUACAUGGAAUACCAAUUGCGAAGGCAGGUUACUACUAAUGGAUUGACGCUGAUGGACGAAAGCGUGGGUAGCGAACAGG
rnacentral:rRNA from 1 species